GCGAAAGCGUUAAGCAUUCCACCUGGGGAGUACGCCGGCAACGGUGAAACUCAAAGGAAUUGACGGGGGCCCGCACAAGCGGAGGAACAUGUGGUUUAAUUCGAUGAUACGCGAGGAACCUUACCCGGCUCAAACGUCGCAGGGCGGAUUGUGAAAGCAGUCUUUCCCUCGGGACCUGUGACGAGGUGCUGCAUGGUUGUCGUCAGCUCGUGCCGUGAGGUGUCGGCUUAAGUGCCAUAACGAGCGCAACCCCUACCGACAGUUGCUAACAAGCAGCGUUGAGGACUCUGUCGGGACUGCCGGCGCAAGCUGAGAGGAAGGCGGGGAUGACGUCAAAUCAGCACGGCCCUUACGUCCGGGGCGACACACGUGUUACAAUGGCAGGUACAGCGGGAGGCCAUGCGGCGACGCAGAGCGGAACCCGAAAACCUGUCUCAGUUCGGAUUGGAGUCUGCAACCCGACUCCAUGAAGCUGGAUUCGCUAGUAAUCGCGCAUCAGCCACGGCGCGGUGAAUACGUUCCCGGGCCUUGCACUCACCGCCCGUC
rnacentral:rRNA from 1 species